CAAAGCUAGAGGUUUUAAAAAAUGAACUCAGGUUUUGCUUGGAAAUUUUGCAUCAAAUCUGUUGGGCUUUGUCAAGUCUCAGUGUGUGAUAUAGGCUUGAUUCUCAAAUAAUCGUGCCCUUGGUUUNAGUAGCAGUGGCUUAUUGAGAAUGCUCAAUUUCAUGGCGAUGGUGAAGGCAUUUAUUAGGGGAUCAUGAAUUGCAACAUGGUUUUGGUCAUAGACCAACCGUACAUUGGCAUUAAUUGGGAC
rnacentral:misc_RNA from 1 species